rnacentral:lncRNA from 1 species
AGGAAGGAGAGAAGAAAAGAGAGAGAGAGGGGGAGGGAGGAAUGGACGGAGAGAGGGAGAGACCACACGAAAAGAUGUAGAGAGGACUUAGAAGCCCUCCCUGUUUCGUUUCGAAAUAGGAGAUCCUAUUUAUUUUUUGCCAACAAGCUAUAAUAAAGUCGGCAAACCAUUUGCUGACUUCAAUUCAAAAAAAAUAACAAUCACCCCGGCAUGGUAUGGUACGGCACAGUGCAGUAUGCAACCGUACUGUACCAGGCUAAUUGCCGACCGGUAUGGGUCUCAGUAUCAGUUUGGCGAACUUUGGUGGUGGCUAUCUUAGCAAAAUAGUGCCACUAGUGGUGAAGAACUACAAGAAUGGUGCAGCACAAGCAGCAAGUAUCAGCCAUUAUUCUAGUCAUAGUAUUGAUGGUUAAGGCUAGAAGUGAGCUAGGUUAGGCUAGCUUGGGCCGCACCCCUCCCUGAGCUUGGCCUGGAAAUUCUCUUCUGGCUUCGGGCUAGGCCUAAGCCCCAAGAGAAUUUCUGAUCAAUCCCAAGCCCUGACCAAGCCCAAAUUCGAGCCUAGCCCAAAGCCCGAACGAGGCCCUACAAAAAUCGAGCUCGAGCAUGCCUGACAUGAGCUCGAACCCGAGCUCGGUGACCCUACCCUAGUAUUCGUGUACAAGAGAAAACGAGGGGGAUUUGGAGAGGGAGAAGGUCCACAAGCAAAGGUGGAGGGGAUUAGUGUUAUAGUUUGGGGCGUCAAGAGUUAGGGCAGUAAGGCUGAGGGAGCCCAUCGAGAAUCGAGGAGACAAUACUGGGACCAUGGACGAUGAUGACGAUGAAGCAGGCAAAAGCAAAGAGUGAAGAGAGCAACUGAACAGCAUCCAUGAGUUGGGGAGGGCUCGUGGCAGAGAACAUUGAGGUGGCAAGGGGGUUAGCAAGGAAGAGAGGGUGAACAUCGAGGCCUAGGGCACAAUUAUGGAGAGUGAGAAAGAGGUGGAGAAAAGCAUGAGAAUAUGAGAGGGAGCAAAAAGGUGGAGUAUUAUAACAUGGGUAACAGUGUGGGAUGUGGUAAGAGGGGUGGGUGUUAGGGAUAGGGUCAGGGUUUAGUUUGGCGGAGGGGGCAAGUUAGGCUAGGCAUCAAGUUGGGCUAUGGGUUGGACUCGUCAGGUCAAUUUAUUGUUCUGACCCUACAACCCAAACUCAAGCCCAACCAAAAUCCUUUCAAGUUAGGCUCAAGGCCUGACUCAAAGCCGACCAAGUCCUAUGGGCCUUGGGCUAGCUUGAGCCCAUUUCCAACCCUCUUGGUGGAAGAAGAAAUCGUUGUUUGGGGGUGGGGGACAGUUGUGAUAGCAAUUGCAAUAAGGAGAUGGCAAUGGCUUAAUUUUCUCCUUUUUUCCAAAAUUUUUGAAACUGAAGCAAUUUCGCUAUUGAAAAAUUUUUGAUUUCCAAAAUUAUUUUCCAAGUUGUAAACAUAAAAAGCACCCUUAAGAUGACAAGACCACUAUAUUGCCCAAGGUGCUAGGCACCAAAAAGGCGCUCUCCUGAUGAAAGCAAGGUGCUAAUAUAUGAAAAGUCUAAUAAUUGCAUUAGAAAUAAAUAACAUCUACAUCUAGAAAUAAUAUAAACAUCACAAAAUUAAUUUUCAAGUUUCAACAUCCUAAAUCAUGAUCAUCUUGAACAUUGGAUAUCAUAUUAGCUUAUGCUGCCUCUUCCGAUGGGGACGCUGAUAAUGACCUAUCUUCCUUACCAGGUGGAUUUGACAAAUCAUUCCUUUCAAAACCGGUUUGGGGCACUGAAGACGAACAGAAAGUGAAAAAGACUCCCCUUUUUCACUCAGUUAUUCCAUUUUUUGCACGACAAGCAGUCGAGAAACAAAUGAUCGAUGCUUGCAUCUUUUAAAGCAUCACAUCAAAACACCACUUCCCAUAAUAUGGUUUUGAACAAAAAAUGGAAAAAAUAAACCAUUGGACAUACUAAAUAGAUUCAGUAUUCAUACAUGAUAGUAAAAUACCACUUAGCAAAACAUGUUUCAUGCUUCUAAACAACACAACGUAAAAUAACAAACCACUGAAUAUCCUAAAGUAACCAUUUAUCUAUAUUGGUCCCAAUGGACCAAAAUCAACAUCAAAAUAAAGCUAACAGUGAUCUAAAAGAAUGGGCAAAAAGGACAACAAGAAUGUUGUCAGACAUUGGAGAGGUGCUUAAAUGACCGCCUCUCAUUUUAUCUCAAACACUCACCUAGGCACCGCCUCAAGUAAACUGGCCUUGCCUGAGGAUUUUUGAGGUGCUUAGGGGUUUCGUCACCUUGCCUAAGCAACUAGAGCACCUUUAGAACACGAUUACUUUCAAAAACAACAAAAAGAUGAAAGCAACCUCAUCAAACAUUUUUUUGGAUCUAAUUACCUUUUUUAAGAAAGAAAAGGGAACUGAGUCAAUGGCAAUUAGGCCCUUAAUAAAUUAUAUUCAUUCGAAAUAACAAAAUAGGGCAAUUCAUUCAAUCCUUGACGUACAUCUACCUAUUAUAUUUGGGUUUUGUAUACUUUUACAUUUUUAUUGCAUUGAGCUUUCAAUCAUUCAUUUGAUAAAGGGCAAAGGGAUCGAAAUGGUUCAAUUGAAUAGAUGAUUGAUAAUUGACCACCAAUUUUAGCAUUGUGACUUACCCUAUUUCACCCGUAUUGACCGACCAACAUUCCCAUCAACAUCAAAUCAUCAAACUCACCCAUUGCUCAACCUUCUCUCUUCCCGUAGAUCUUCUUGUUCCUCAAAUAAAGCAGCUAAACCCACCUCAAA